UGUCAGAAAAGGUCUCUGAGGAGAUGACGGCUGAGCUGAGUAAGAAGGAACUGCUCAGGCAAAACCCAAGGAAAGGUGUUCUCAGCAGGGAGCCCUGGUGGAGAUGCUGGAAAGCACUUGCCUCAGUUCUCCUACCUGCAAUGUGAAGGGACAGGAAUACCCACCUCGUAUGGCUGCCAUGAGGAUGGGAUGAGGCGUGCGCGGCAGGAGUGAGCGCCACAGUCACGUGCCACACCAUCAUGUUUCCACCCAUGACGGGCCACGGUACGACGGCGGUUCCACUAGAUUAUACUGGAGUCAGACGAUGGAGUAGGCCGGGGUCUGCAACCCCUGGGCCACCAGUCCACAGGCCAUAAGGAAACCGAGCCACACAUCACGAGCAGCUCACAGAAGAGACAGACGCGGGCACGCAGCGUUAAAAGUCUCGUCAAAAGAAUUUCUGUUAACCAGCUACCCCUUCAUACUAGGCAUGGCACACUGACACUGUGAGAUGCACUGAAACAAGGAGGCACCACUUCUUCUCGAUCUUAAUUACAUUUGGAAGAACAGAAAGGAAGAUGAACAGAAAGAAGUUUAAAGCAGAGGCUGAAACUUGAAAAUGCUCACAACUUCACCGGAUAAUUCCACUAGUGUCGUAAGAAAAUCAUCUCACUCCUUUGGGUAAGAGACAGCGAAGAGGAGAGAAGAGAGAAGAGAAAAGACGAAAAACAUAAUCUCAAAAGUAUAUAAAAUUAGUAGACAAAAAUAUUCAUAUAGCCCUAUUUAUAAAAGUGAGAAAAAACUAAGGGUCCUUUGAGAAAAGAAUAAUUGGGGAAAUUACUGAGUAUCUACAGAAUAAACUCUUUCUGUGGUUGAGAAAGAACUUAAGCUGUGACAUAUGAAGCAUAUUUUCAUAUGUGUGUGUGAAUUAACACAGAAAUUAACUCAAAAUAGAUCAAAGAUAUAACUCAAAAUGGAUGGAAGAUAUAAAUGUAGCAGCUGAAACUAUAAAACUCUUAGGAGGAAACCUAGGUAAGUCUUUGUAGCCUUGGAUUACAUAAUAGUUUCUUGGAUAUGACACUAAAACAGAAGCAAGAACAAAAAGAUAAUUAACCUUCAUCAAAACUGAAAUCCUGUGAAAUGACUAUCUAGAGAGUGAAAACAACCCACAGAUGGGAGAAAACAUUUGCAAAUCAUAUGUCUGAUAUACGACAGAAUAUAUAAAGAAGUUAGCAAGG